AAAUUCCUGCCAAGAGGACAACAUGACUUUCAUCACUCUAGUGACUCUAGAUGACUCUAAUACCAUAUCUACCUAGAUUUUCCUCCUGAUGUUUUUGUAGUGUUCUUAUCUUAGAUUGCUGGACAGAGAUCACAAAUGACCUUACAUACGUGCAUCAUACAGCAGAUUGAGCACUACGGACACAAGGCAAACUUCAUGACACAGAUUACACAACUCAAAACCACGAGGCAGAUGAUGAACCACCACAGAAAACAUCACCAACAAAAGAAUAAAAAGCCAACGUGCCAAAACAGUCACUAUUCUUACCAGCUGAAAAAGGAUCCAAUGAAAUUUGCAUGGAGAAGGAAAAACCCAUUUUAAAACUUAAUACAGUUGGCAUGUUCUGCCACAUGCACAGUGUAGGACUCUUCCUGAAAGAGGCUCCAAGCAGUGACGCCACAUCACCACUGAACAAUCUCAAAGGAAAAGACAGCUAAUUUCCAUAUGAAUUUGUAACUUCUUAGGAUUUUUCAGGGAUUUGGAAAAUACAUAAAAAGAUCUUGUUAUACUGUC